rnacentral:tRNA from 2 species
CAAAUUAAAGUUUGUAAAAAUAUUUCAUUUACAUUGAAAAGAGAUUGAUUUGUUUCAUUUGAUUUGG